rnacentral:rRNA from 1 species
GGUUAAGUUAGAAAGGGCGCACGGUGGAUGCCUUGGCACUAGGAGCCGAAGAAGGACGGGACUAACACCGAUAUGCUUUGGGGAGCUGUACGUAAGCGUUGAUCCAGAGAUUUCCGAAUGGGGGAACCCACUAUCUUUAGUCGGAUAGUAUCCUUACGUGAAUACAUAGCGUGAGGAAGGCAGACCCAGGGAACUGAAACAUCUAAGUACCUGGAGGAAGAGAAAGAAAAAUCGAUUUCCUGAGUAGCGGCGAGCGAAACGGAAAGAGCCCAAACCAAGAAGCUUGCUUCUUGGGGUUGUAGGACACUCUAUACGGAGUUACAAAAGAAAGUUAUAAAUGAAGCGGUCUGGAAAGGCCCGCCAAAGACGGUAACAGCCCGGUAGUUGAAAUGGCUUUCCCUCCAGAGUGGAUCCUGAGUACGGCGGAACACGUGAAAUUCCGUCGGAAUCCGGGAGGACCAUCUCCCAAGGCUAAAUACUCCCUAGUGACCGAUAGUGAACCAGUACCGUGAGGGAAAGGUGAAAAGCACCCCGGAAGGGGAGUGAAACAGUUCCUGAAACCGUGUGCCUACAAGUAGUUAGAGCCCGUUAAUGGGUGAUAGCGUGCCUUUUGUAGAAUGAACCGGCGAGUUACGAUUUGUUGCAAGGUUAAGCGGAAAAAGCGGAGCCGUAGCGAAAGCGAGUCUGAAUAGGGCGCAUAAGUAACAGGUCGUAGACCCGAAACCAGGUGAUCUACCCAUGUCCAGGAUGAAGGUAAGGUAAUACUUACUGGAGGUCCGAACCCACGCACGUUGAAAAGUGCGGGGAUGAGGUGUGGGUAGCGGAGAAAUUCCAAUCGAACUUGGAGAUAGCUGGUUCUCUCCGAAAUAGCUUUAGGGCUAGCCUCGAGGUAAAGAGUCAUGGAGGUAGAGCACUGUUUGGACUAGGGGCCCUUCUCGGGUUACCGAAUUCAGAUAAACUCCGAAUGCCAUGUACUUAUACUCGGGAGUCAGACUGCGAGUGAUAAGAUCCGUAGUCGAAAGGGAAACAGCCCAGACCACCAGUUAAGGUCCCCAAAUAUAUGUUAAGUGGAAAA